ACAGUCACCUCCAACUAGAUCUAACUGCCCUGCAUGUAGAGUGAAGCGGCUUUCCUGGGUGAGUCAACCUGACAGUCUGCUAAUGGCGAGGUAGCACGGAGUGCAGCUCCUGGGCUGAAACAUUUGUUAAAUCUCUAAGUGCACCAUACAGACAGUUAACUUGGGAGGAAGCCCUAUAGUGCUGUCUUCUGAAUCGACACCUGUAUCAAGUGAAUACGGAUUCCUCAACUAAAGCAACUGUUCACAGACUGUUUCUAACUGGUGUCAAUAUUUUCUGGAGUUUAGGCACCAAGACCUGAGCUGCAGUCCUGUGACGAUUCCUUCUUAAUUCCCAGAACCUCUGCUGUCACUGAUCCCCAUGAAAACCAGGCAGGCAAAACCACAUGACCACAGCCACUCUAAGAAUCUACAGGGAUUUUGGUUUCUGACGUCCGUGUACAUAGGAAAGGAAUGUGAUGUGAACAUCAGUAAUACCUAACAGCUGGGGAUGUUCUCAAUCAACAGAGAGGAUGUCCAAAGGAGAGAGAUGAUUAUUAAAUGAAAAUAAAAUUAACCAUGGAGGCCAGGACUGACCUUUGACUGAGUUGGCAGCUGCAUCAGCAGAGAAACUCCCAGAGCUAUCUUCCCAGCAGCUGUGGUAGCUCUAGCUUCAAGUCGUGGAUGACUGCGUGGUUGUUAUUCUUUUGUUCUGGACUGUGUCUAUAUCCAAACAAGCUACAGAGGAGAGCUGAACAGCCACAGCAACACCCAUGGUCCCAGUCUCUUUUUAUGCCCCUCCCCAGGUAAUCCCUUACUCCCAGCAAGGCCCCCUAUCAGUCACAUCAUCUACCUGUGGACCACGCUGUACUCUCAAGAACACAGUCUCAGAUGUGGCACAGAAAGCAACCUGCCAACAGUGCAUCAGAAGUGAGGUCUAGGAUCCCAAUUAUACUUUGAAGAAGUGAAUAGUUCAUUUGCUGACUUCAUUUUAUAGAUGGAGAAACAGAGAGUUGCCUACUUAUCUCAGAUUUCUGCACUGAUAAACAUGUAUCUACAUUUUUUAUACAUGUUAGUGAUACAUGUUUAUCACUAGCCAUCAGUCAGUGUAAUGACCCUUCUCGGAGCUUAUUCUGCUGCUUAAUGCCUUACACUGGUGGUCCAAAUCCACAGUUACUGAGGAGUAUGUGGCUUACAAAUCUAUUUUCAACUGUUUCCCACAUAGUAAAAUGGAAGAGAGAGCACUUGUAGCUCCGCUGAGGCUUGAUGGAGAUAGUCUACAGGCAGAACUGGCCAUGGUGCUGAUGACUGGAGCCAAGAGGAUGAGGUCUACCACUGUUCAUAGCCACUGUUUCAAAUCUGAUGAAGCCUGUAGGCAUAAGGCUUUUGUGCACUGUGUAAAGGUUGUCCUUGUAUUAUUCAAAUGCUUAUUUCUCUGCCCUCAUUUCUUAUUUCAAUCUGGAUAUGGCAUUGUAAUGCUUAGGUCAAUAAACUACCCCCAGACCUUCUUGUUUGUGCAAACAAUUCU
ensembl:processed_transcript Gm20658 predicted gene 20658